GGCGCUGUAGUGUAGCGGUUAUCACUUGAGAUUCUGAAGAGUGUUCUCAUAACCCAGGUUCGAUUCCUGGCAGUGCCU